rnacentral:rRNA from 1 species
GAUGAACGCUGACAGAAUGCUUAACACAUGCAAGUCGAUGGGGAAGUGGUGCUUGCACCAUGGUAACCAUGGCGGACGGGUGAGUAACGCGUAAGGAACUUACCUGCGGGACCGGGAUAACAGCAGGAAACUGCUGACAAGACCGGAUAAGGUCAUUAAGCUGCAUAGCUUAGUGAUGAAAGGAGACGCCUGCGGAGAGCCUUGCGUCCUAUUAGCUAGUUGGAGGGGUAACGGCCCACCAAGGCGAAGAUAGGUAGCCGGCCUGAGAGGGUGGACGGCCACAAGGGGACUGAGAGACGGCCCUUGCGCCUACGGGAGGCGGCAGUGGGGAAUAUUGGACAAUGGGGGCAACCCUGAUCCAGCAAUUCUGUGUGCACGAAGACGGUUUUCGGAUUGUAAAGUGCUUUCAGCAGGGAAGAAGGGAGUGACGGUACCUGCAGAAGAAGCGACGGCUAAAUACGUG